AUGACGAACACAAAGGGAAAGAGGAGAGGCACCCAGUACAUCUUCUCUAGGCCUUUUAGGAAACAUAGCGUUGUUCCUUUGGCCACAUACAUGCGAAUCUACAAGAAGGGUGAUAUUGUAGACAUCAAGGGAAUGGGCACCGUUCAAAAAGAAAUGCCCCAUAAGUGCUACCACAGCAAACCCGGAAGAGUCUACAAUGUGACCCAGCAUCCCAUGGGCAUCAUUGUCAACAAGCAGGUC
rnacentral:lncRNA from 1 species